rnacentral:rRNA from 1 species
CACGUAGGGUCCGAGCGUUGUCCGGAAUUACUGGGCGUAAAGCGCGCGCAGGCGGCCCGACACAUCGGCGGUGAAAGCCCCCCGCUUAACGGGGGGAGGGUCCGUCGUGAUGGUCGGGCUGGAGGCAGGGAGAGGGCGGUGGAAUUCCGGGUGUAGUGGUGAAAUGCGUAGAGAUCCGGAGGAACACCAGUGGCGAAGGCGGCCGCCUGGACCUGACCUGACGCUGAGGCGCGGAAGGCGCGGGGGAGCCGAACGGGG